GGGGAUUAGUGGCGAACGGGUGAGUAACACGUGGGCAAUCUGCCCUGCACUCUGGGACAAGCCCUGGAAACGGGGUCUAAUACCGGAUACUGAUCCGCUUGGGCAUCCAAGCGGUUCGAAAGCUCCGGCGGUGCAGGAUGAGCCCGCGGUUCCUAUCAGCUUGUUGGUGAGGUAAUGGCUCACCAAGGCGACGACGGGUAGCCGGCCUGAGAGGGCGACCGGCCACACUGGGACUGAGACACGGCCCAGACUCCUACGGGAGGCAGCAGUGGGGAAUAUUGCACAAUGGGCGAAAGCCUGAUGCAGCGACGCCGCGUGAGGGAAUGACGGCCUUCGGGUUGUAAACCUCUUUCAGCAGGGAAGAAGCGAAAGUGACGGUACCUGCAGAAGAAGCGCCGGCUAACUACGUGCCAGCAGCCGCGGUAAUACGUAGGGCGCGAGCGUUGUCCGGAAUUAUUGGGCGUAAAGAGCUCGUAGGCGGCUUGUCGCGUCGGUGGGUGAAAGCCCGGGGCUUAACCCCGGGUCUGCAGUCGAUACAGGCAGACUAGAGUUCGGUAGAGGAGAUCGGAAUACCCGGUGUAGCGGUGAAAUGCGCAGAUAUCAGGAGGAAACACCGGUGGCGAAGGCGGAUCUCUGGGCCGAUACUGACGCUGAGGAGCGAAAGCGUGGGGAGCGAACACGAUUAGAUACCCUGGUAGUCCACGCCGUAAACGGUGGGCACUAGGUGUGGGCGACAUUCCACGUCGUCCGUGCCGCAGCUAACGCAUUA
rnacentral:rRNA from 1 species